rnacentral:lncRNA from 1 species
GAGAAUGAAGAAAUUAAUUAAAAAUAACAACUGUCAUAUUUUCUGAAUAUUCCUGGAUGAUUACACUGAUUGACAUUAUAUGCUACUGGAUAGUGACAACAAGAUUUGUGUAACAAACCUUCUAAGAAAAAGACACAUGUCCUACUUCUAGAAUCAACUAAGGGGAAUAGUACUUAAUUGAAAUGCUUAAUACUAUGGGACUAAAGUAAAAAUAACGAAACUAUAAGACUACUCGUCUAUAAACAAAAGCCUCUUCAGUCUCCUUUCCAAACUAUCUUCGAUCAAUCAACAUAUCCACGACCACCGCUACAUUCCAUCCCCUCAAAGAAACUUGAUGCAAUUCAAGGUUUAAAGGCGGAAAAUUGACUCUUCAAAAAGGAAUAUUCUUCCUACGUAGCUUCUGCAGGGGCCAAAUUAGCCCAUUGCACCAAUACUUCAACCACUGCCCUAUUCAUCUUUUUAACCAUCAUCAUUUCUAAUAUCUUCAGUGGCUUUGUCAAAAUUUGACCAUCAUUAGUGCAAUAAGGUGGAUCCUGAGUGGCGAAAGUCUUUUCUCCAAUUUUCUUCUUUAAUUGUGAAACAUGAAAGACAGGGUGUAUCUUUGAUCCCAACGGUAGUCGGAGCUCAUAAGCUACUGGACCAACUCUGUUAAUUACCUCAUUAGGACCAAAGUAUCUAGCUGAAAGCUUCAGAUUUCUUCGUACUGCUAUUGAGGUCUGCCGAUAAGGUUGUAGUUUCAAGAACACCCAAUCCCCAACUGAAAAAUUCCUUUCUUUCCUUUUCCCAUCGGCAUAAAUUUUCAUUCUGAAUUGCGCUUUGGUGAGAUUGUCUUGAAGGACUUUGGACAUCAACUGCCUUUCCCUCAAUACUAAGUGAACUGAAUCAAGCUUUGUUUGGGCCACUAGCUCGAAUGUUAGUUGCGGUGGAUCAUAGCCAUAGAAAGCAUUAAAGGGGGUCAUCCCAAUUGCUGAGUGAAAGUUUGAAUUGUACCAGAACUCUGCCAAGGAUAACCCUUUGCUCCAAUCAAAUGUCUUAUGGCCAGUUAUGCAUCUGAGGUAUGUCUCCAAGCAACGAUUUAAACUCUCAGACUGCUCAUCUGUUUGUGGGUAGUAAGCAGUGCUUCUCUUUAGUUGUACAUGUAAUCCCCUGAAAAGAUCUUUCCAGAAACCGCUAAUAAAAAUUGGAUCCCGAUCUGAAACUAUAGAACUAGGCAUUCCAUAUAGUUUGCAGACGUUAUCUAAGAACACUUGUAAAAUUUGACUGGUAGUGUAAGGGUGAGUUAAUGCAAAGAAAGGAGCAAACUUUGUAUAUCUAUCAAUUACCAUAAGUAUUGAGUCUUUCCCAUGGGAUUUUGGCAAACCACUGAUGAAAUCCAUUUCUACAUGUCCCUAGGCUCAUGAGGGAAUUGGCAGUGGUCGUAAAAGACCCGAGUAAGCAACACUUUCACCCUUAUUUCUUUGACAAAUCUUACACUUUUUCACAUGAUUUUUGACGUCUUGUAAUAGUGUAGGACAAUAAAAUAGAGAUCUAAGUCUCUGUUGAGUAUCAUGUAUGACUUAGUGGCCACCCCAUGGAGAGGAAUGCAUCUCAUUAAUUAGCCUCUGCCUUAAAGAUCCAUGACUACCUACCCAUACUUUUCCAUUUUGCCCGAGAAUGCCAUCUUGAAGUUGCGCUCCUGGAGAAGUAUUAGGAUCCGCACUCAGUUGUGUAAUCAUGUGUUGAACCACUGCAUCAUUUUGGUAGCUUUCAAUUAUAUCAUUAGCCCACUUAGGAUGGACGACUGAGAGCCCAGAACAGUUUCCUUCCUUAAAUUUUCUUGAGAGUGCAUCUGCAGACACAUUUUCAUUUCCCUUUUUGUAUUGGAUUUCAUUGCUAAGACCCAAUAAUUUAGUGACCCCUCUUUGUUAUAAUGAGGUAGUUAUCUUUUGGUCUUUGAGAAACUUGAGGCUAAAAUGAUCUGUCUUUAUGAUAAAGUGGUUGGGUUGUAGAUAAUGUCGCCAUUUUUUUGCGGUAAACAUUAAGGCAAUCAGUUUUUCUUCGUAGGUUGAUAGACCAAGAUGCCUUGAACUCAAUGCUUGACUGAUAAAUGCAAUGGUCCUUCCUCCUUGAAUCAAAAUUGCCCCUAUCCCUUUUUCACUUGCAUCUACUUCAACAAUGAAGGAGAUUGAAAAAUUGGGUAGUGCUAGUACAGGGGCCUGGACCAUAGCCUGCUUCAGCUCCUCAAAGGCUUGAGUUGCUUCUAUGGUCCAACUAAAAUUACCCUUUUUCAGUAGAUUGGUCAAAGGUUUACUAAUUGUAGCAAAAUUCUUUAUAAACCUUCGAUAGUAAACUGUAAGGCCCAAAAAUCCCCUUAGAUAUUUUAUUGACUUAGGCUGUCCCAAAUUGAGCAUAGCCUUCACCUUGGAUUCAUCUGUGCUUUCCCCUUCUUUUGAGAUAACAUGACCCAAAUACUCCACCUUGCCUUGGCCAAAACUGCACUCUAACUUCUUGAUAAACAAUUGAUUUGCCUUUAGUAACUUGAAUACAACUUGUAAAUGCUUCAGAUGUUCUAGUAAAGAUGCACUAUACACGAGUAUGCCAUCAAAAAAUAUAAGCACAAACUACCUCAAGUAAGGGGCAAAAAUCUGUUUCAUAAGUGCCUGAAAGGUAGCGGCCGCAUUAGUUAGUCCAAAGGGCAUAACUUUAAAUUUUCACAGCCCAUGGUGAGUGCGAAAAGCUGUCUUGUACUCUUCACCCUCUUUCAUCCGAAUUUGAUGAUAUCCGGACCUUAAAUCUAACUUAGUAUAAUUUGUUUACCCAUGUAAUUCAUCAAACAAAUUUUCUACUACUGGUAUAGGGUACUUGUUUUUUACUGUAACAUCAUUCAGCUUGUGAUAAUCAACACAUAUCCGCCAACUAGAAUACUUCUUUUUUUUUUUUACUAAAAGUACUAGUGAAGCAAAUGGAGAAACACUUUUGGCAACUGUCUCGGCCUUUAACAUUUCUGCCAUGAUCUCUUCAAUGGCAUUCAUUUGUUCAAAAAAAUAUCGAUAAGGCCUCAGAUUAAUAGGUUUAGUACCUGUAAAUAAUUGUAUAGCAUGAUCAUAAUCACGGCUAAGAGGCAAUCCUUUGGGCUUUUGAAACUGCUCCCCAAAUUGGCUCAAUAACAGUUCCACUUCCUGAGGCACCACCUUUUUCUUUUCGUCCAGUUUCAACAAAAAUAUUUGGGCCACAAAGUUGCAUUACCCUUUACCGAUCAGCUUGGCAAUAACUUUGAUGUCCACAUUAGUGACUUUCUCAUCAAUAGUAGUGCUCAUGAAUGUUACCAGUUCUAACUCGUAAAUAAAAGAUACCCCGAAUGAUUUUGUGUGCAACACUAUUGGAGCAACAAUGUCGAUCCAAUCCAUUUCAAGCACAAUGUCACAGCCUCCCACCUUCAAUACCCCAAAAUCAAAGGCAAACUUCUUAUCCUGCAUUUUCCAUUCAAAACGUCUGCUCACUUGUCUGCAUUUAAGAUACUGACCAUUUGCGACCUUAACUCUCAUGGGUCGGCCCAAAUCCUCUACUCCUGAUGAACUAAUUCUUGCUAACUGUGGAUCCACAAAGCUAUGGAUCGAUCCACUAUCCAACAGCACCACCACUUUUUGGCCUUUGACCCAGCCUAUAAUUUUAAUUAUUGCUGGGGCCUUUCUACGGCCUAUUAUAACGUUCAAUAUUACUUCUGUCUGUUCUUGGACAAAUUUAGCCACCACUCUUUCUUCUGGUUCUUUAAUCUUUUCUACAGCAUCAAUAAACUCUUCGGCUUCCAAAGCAUUUAGAGUUUAGUUUUUACAAAUAUGCCCAGGAAAAUAUUUGUCAUGGCACUUGCAGCACAAAUUUUGCUCCCUCAUCAUUUCGAUAGUCAUGUUUCUUUGGUUUAAAUUUUUAUUAUUCACAACAGGUGGAUUUUUUUUUGUAUGUAGGAUUUCUUGUGUUUGUGGACUUAUAAGUGGUCUGGGUGGGUUGAAUGUGUUUUGUGUAAGUCUUGGAAAACUAUUAUUUAUCUAUUUGCUUAUACAAUGAUUUAAAAGAUGUCUUAUGUAACUUGGCACAUUUAUAGGCUGCUAACAAGGUUCUAGGUCGAGCAAAUUAUACAAGUGGAAGUAUAUAGGGCUUAAGUCCACUAAUGACACAUGAUACAAAAUGAGGUUCUUUCAAUGCAGGAUUAAGUAUCACCAUUAAACACUUUAAUUCAUCAAACCUACUUUGGUAUGUUUCCACGUCAGUAAUUUGCUCAAGGCGAUUAAAUUCCUUAACAAUAUCCACAGGAUCAUUGUGUCCAAAUAUUUCGUAUAUGUCAUAGGAAAAUUAGCCCCAAGUAACAAUACCCCCAUGGUCAGCAAGAUAACCAUCGAACCAAUGAUCAACAUAUUCUUUCAAAUGAAUGUCCACGUAAUUAAUUUUCUCAUCAUCCAUCACUUGAUAUAUAUUAAAAAUAUUUUUACACCGCCUCGGUCAGCUUCGGGGAUUUAUCUCGUCGAACUUAGGGAAUAAUAGAUUGGCCUUUGGCAGCUUGGACAUAGAUCCAAGGGAGUCAAUCCCAUUAUGGCUGGGUGGAGUCCAGCCUACAGAAGUUGGUUGAAGGGUUCCAAAUAUGAUAGAUAAAAGGUUGUGAUAUUGGGUUCAUAGUCAGUGAGUAUGAAAUGGGUUGGGUUAAAGAACUAGUAGAAAAUUGCCCCGAGGAAUUUAUUAUGCCGUAAUUAACUAGAGGAGGGUAUGAUUGGGGUAUAUAUGGCUGAGUAGACAUUGGAUAAGGGUUUGGUUGUGGAAAAAAUGGUUGGGUGGUCAUUUGGUAUAUGUAAAUUGGAGGUUUAUAGCUUGGGUAUUCAUGGGGUUCGAGCUUAUCUGAUUGUUAUAAGGUUGACUGGUAAGAGGGUAUGAACGAAUUGGUGGUCUAAAAGCUGCCGCUGAAGGAUUUAGGGGAGUGCUAGUGAUGGUCUCAACUUGGUUUCGUGAAUGAGCCGAUGUACUACCCAACAGAGGUAGUGAGGAUAAAUGCACAGCUCGAAGUCCAGUGGUAUUAUGAGGUAAAAAUGGAGGGGUAAAGUUUUGUGUGUUACCGCUGACGGAAGAUAAAUCAGCUUCUUCGGUAGAUCCACUAUGAACACCGACAACUGAAGCUCGUACAGAAGAUGAGGGUUUUGCCGUGUUUUGGCUGCUCAUUUGCAGCAACAUCUCCUCAAUUCUCUUAGAAUAAUUUCCACCAUUUUUGCUUCAAAACUCUACUGCUUCUCCUAAAAUCUAUUCAUCCUUUUCUGUAUUUUUCCAUGAAUUUUUGCAGCUGAACUUCAACCCUUCUCAGUCCAUUUUCUUCAUCGGACUGACUUUUUUGCUUGUCAACCAUCCUCGAUAUCCAGAACCGAGGCUUCGAUACCAAAUUUGUAGCAAUCGGCUACUAUGCGAUACCAAAUUUGUAGCAAUCGGCUACUAUGUAAACUUAAGGAAGAAAGCAAUAGGACAGAGAAUGAAGAAAUUAAUUAAAAAUAACAAUUGUUAUAUUUUUUGAAUAUUCCUAGAUGAUUACAUUGAUUGGCAUUAUAUGCUACUGGAUAGUGACAGCAAGGUUUGUGUAAAAACCUUCUAAGAAAAAGACACAUGUCCUACUUCUAGAAUCCACUAAGGGCAAGAGGAUUUAAUUAAAAUGUUUAAUACUAUGGGACUAAAGUAGAAAUAACGAAACUAUAAGACUACUCGUCUAUGUUGAUAUUGAAAGUGGACUUUAUUGAUAUCGGGGUCGAAUUCGGAUUCUGAAAAUGGGAAUAGGUCCGCAAUAUCAUUUAUGACUUGUGUGCAAAAUUUGGUGUCAAUAGUAGUUGUUUUGGUAUGAAUUGGCGUUAGUUUCAGAAUUCGGAAGUUCAUAAUUACUUAGGCUUGAAUUUGGGUUGCGAUUCAUAGAAUUUACGUUGUUUGAUGUUGUUUUAGGCCUCGAGUAGGUCCGUUAUGUGUUUUGGAACUUGUUGAUAUAUUCGGACGGGGCCCCGAAGGCCUAGUGGCCCCGGGUGUGAUUCAUUUGAAUUCGGAUCAAAAUUUGGACUUGUAGAGUUGCUGAACUUUUCCAACUUCUGGUGUCAUUGCACAUGCGGAGGGACUGGCCGCAUGUGCGGACUCGCAAAAGCGAGCUUAUGAUCGUAUGUGCGAAAGUGGCUUAGCCGAGCUGGGAUCGCAGGUGCAAAAUACGGACCGCAUCUGCGCGUCCGCAGGUGCGGAGAUGUGGUCGCAGAUGCAGAAGAGGGGCUACCUGCUCAUCCUUUGCAGAGGCAGAGAAUCCUCCACAUGAGCGGGUUCUUAGGUGCGGGCCAUGGUCCGCAGAAGAAUAAAUUGAGGACUUAAGUGUUUUCCUCACAUGUGAUGGUUUUUCCGCAGGUGCGGCGUCGCAGAAGCGACCUAAGGCCGCAUAAGCGUUUUAACUGGUAGAAAAAGGGAAUUUUCGAGGGCUUUGAAUCAUAUUUCAUUUUGGGAUUUUUGUAACGACCCGACUUGUCGUUUUAAGAAUUAACAUCCCGUUCAGUGACUUAAGGUCUCGAGCAGCUUCGCAAUAUGUAUUAUGACCCGCGGGUGUGGUCGAGUUUGAAUUACUAAAGAUUCGGAAUUAAAUUAAAUAAACAAUCCUUAUUUAGAAACUUAAAUGGAAAGAGUUGACCAGAGAGUUGACUUUUGAGCAAAGGACUCCAGAAUGGAUUUUUGAUGAUGUCAAUAGUUCCGUUUGGUGAUUAUGGACUUAGGGACAUGUCCGAAAAAUUAUUUGGAGGUCUGUAGAGGAAUUAGGCUUGAAAUGGCAAAAGAUGAAUUUUUGGGAAGUUUGACCGGGGGUUGACUUUUUGAUAUCGGGGUCGGAAUCCAGUUCUGAAAAUUUUUAUAGCUCCUUUAUAUCAUUUAUGACUUGUGUAAAAAAUUUGAGGUUAAUCGGAAUUGAUUUGAUACGUUUCGGCAUAAAAUAUUGAAGUUGGAAGAUUUGAAAACUCAUAAUUCGAUUCGAUGCGCGAUGCGUAAUUUCGGCGUGGUUUGAAGCCUCAACUAAGUUCGCAUUGUAUUUUGGGACAUGUUGGUAUAUUUGGUUAAGGUAUUGAGGGCCUCGGGUAAAUUUCAGAAGGUAAACGGAAUGGAUUUCAGACAAAGAGGGUUGCUGAAAAUUUCUGUUGCAGAGCUGUUCGCCAGAAAUUUCUGGUGCGUGGAGCCAAUUUUGGAAGCUUAUAUCUCGCAAUCUCUAAGGAAACUGAAAAUUUAUAAAACUUCAAAGUUGUAGCCCUUUAAUUUGAGUUUCCAUAAUGUUAAACCAUUCAUCAUUUAGACAUUUGUACAGCAAGUUAUGAUGGAUUGAAUGAAGGCUGAUAGGGCAGUUUCACCAGAAAUUUCGCCAGAAAUUUCUGAUGCGUGGAGCUAAGUUUGGAAGCUUAUAUCUCGCAAUUCAUAAAGAAUCAGAAAGUUAUCAAAACAUGAAAGUUGUAGUCCUUUGAUUCUAAUUUCCAGAAAGUUAAACCAUUCAUCGUUUGAACAUUUGUACAUAAAGUUAUGAUCGAUUGAAUUAAGGCUAGUGCAAGCAAAUUCUGGUGUGGACUUUUAGUGACGGAAAAUGGACUUUUAGUGACGAAAAAUGGACUUUUAGUGACGGAUGGGCAGAAACUUAAGGACAAAAAAUGGUCAUUUCCUUCAUUUCGUUUUGGAUUUUUGGAGCACGGUUCUUGGACGAUUUUCAUGGGAAAAUAUUGGCGUAAGUGUUCCUUAUCUUAUAUUGAUUUUAUUUUAUGAUUCCAUACUCAUUUACAUCAAGAAACCGUGAAUUUAUGGAAGAAAAAUCAAGAUUUUUGUAAAAUUUUCCAAAAACGAAAAUUUAAGAUUUGGAGGUCGAGUUGUUAUUGGAAUUUGAUAAAAUUUGUAUGGGUGGACUCGUAAUUGAAUGGGUUGUCGGAUUUCGUAACUUUUGCUGGAUUUCAAAACGUGGGCCCCACAGGCGAAUUUUUGAGUUAAUUUCUGAUUUUUAUUGAAAAAUAUAGUAUUUUCUUAUGGAAUUGAUUCUAUAAUUUUUGUUGACUGUAUCGAAUAAUUAUGACUAGAUUCGAGCGGUCCGAAGGUCAAUUCAAGCAAGAAGGCAAUUUUGGAAUAUCGGCAUAACUUCAAAAAGGUAAGUGUCUUGCCUAACCUCGAGUGGGGGAAUUACCCCAUAGGCAUCGAGUCUUAUGUGCCAUUUGGAAAAUAUAAAAAGCCGUGUACGCGAGGUGACGAGUAUGUACUCGGGUUUAUAUGUGCAAAUUUUAUUGGAUUAAAGUCUUAGGCAUUAUUGUGUAGUAAAUUGGAUAAUUACUGGCAUUUAUUAAAUCAUCUAAUUGCCAUGCCUAAAUCUUUGUUGUUGAAUUUAUUUUUAUAUGACAAUUUGAUAUGAUUGUUACUUAAAAAUGUAUGUAAUUUCGUGAGUUUUUCUGGUUUGAUAUUUCUUGGAAUUUAAUUUCAUUAUGAAUUUUCCCUAUGCAAAUAUUUAAUUAAGCAAGUUUAAAAAAAAAUAUUAAUAUAAUUAUCUAAAUUUGGACUAAUGAAGGUGUUGCCCUAUGCUGAUUAUUUUCUAUCUCUGUUGAUUGUUUUUGAGGUUUUAUAUACAUUGUGUGGAGCCUUAGGCUAUUUGUUGUGAAAUUAAUUGAUUUGGUUGUAUCUUUGGAAUUGUUUGUGGCCAUUGGGCAAAUUGUGACAUGAAUUAAUUUUGUUAUGUUGCCGUGAUAAUUUUCUAUGUAAAUUAUUGUGUUGUGUGAGUUAUUAUUUUGAAGAUAUAAGGGUGACAUUUCACCGUUGAUAUUAUGUGGGCAUGAGGGUGGUAUUUGACUAUUGUUGUGUUUGUUGGAAUAUUGCCUGGGCGGAGCGAUAAGGGUGGCUAUAGGAGGGAUAAGGUUGGCAAUAAGAGCGAUAAGGGUGGCUAUUGAUAUUGUCAGGGCGGAGGGAUAAGGGAGACUAUUAUAAGAGUGAUAAGGGUGGCUAUAGGAGAGAUAAGGGUGGCUAUUGUCAGGGACGAUAUGUGAUGAUGUGGUGUUGAUGAUUUUCAUGUGAUUUUCUUGUGUUUAUUUUUAUACCUUAUGCAAUUUGUCUUAUUAUUGGUAAAUUGAUAACAAUCUGAUUUAUGUUGAAAUUGGGAACCUGUGGCUAUUGCCAGGCGGAUUAUAAAAUGAAAUGUGGGCACGAGGUACCGUGAGUAAAUAAUGAGGAUAUUGGCAUGUGAAUUGUCUGUGCAGUUGUGGUAUGAAAUGAGGGCACGAGGUGCUGUGAUUAAAUAAUAAUGAUACUUGGCACGUGAAUUGUCCGUGCAGUUGUGGUAUGAAAUGAGGGCACGAGGUGUCGGAAAAAUAUGAUGAUUUAAUUAUGGGCACGAAGUGCCGUGGAGAUAUGCAAAAUGGGCUGAGACCCGUGUUUAUGAAAAAUAUGAAAAUGGGCUGAGACCCAUAUUUUUAUGAUUACGAAAUGAGGUAUCACAUGGUGACUUUUUAAUUGAAGAAUUACAUUCAAAAUAUUUAUUUGAAAGGAUUUUUAUUUAGAAAGAAUUGUAUUUGAAAGAUAUUUAUUAGAGAAAAUUAUAUUUGAAGAGAUUUAUUGAAAGAAUUAUAUUUGAAAGAUAAUUAUUUGAGAAAAUUAUAUUUGAAAGAGAGUUAUUUGGAAGAACUAUAUGUGAAAGACAUUUAUUUGAAGAAUUUGAUUUAAUUGGGUGUACUUGUAUUUAUUAUUUGUUGAGCGAUAUUAAUGGUGUUUUGUUGUCUUACUGUGCAUAUCAAUGGUUAUUUUAUGUUGCCCUUAUUGUUAUUUGUUCCUAUUAUUUUGUAUAUUAUAUUGCACAUGUUAUUAGACUAGUGAGUGUCUUGACUGUACCUCGUCUCUACUCCACUGAGAUUAGUCUUGAUACUUACUGGUAGGGGUGUUCAUGGUUUGGUUUGGGUCGGUUUUUUUCUAAAAAGAAACCAAACCAAGUAAGUCGGUUUUUCAAAUAUUGGAACCAAACCAAACCAAUUAAGUCAGUUUUUUAUCGAUUCGGUUUUUGUCGGUUUUUCGGUUAUUUAUCGAUUUUUUCUUAAAUAUGAGACAUACACUACCAAACGCAUAUUCCGGCAACUACANN